AUUUAUAUAAUUUAAAAUCAAAAUAUUAUAUUUUCAAUAUAAAAAUAAUAAUUUAAUUAUUUAUAAAUU
rnacentral:tRNA from 1 species